GUGGAGUAUCAUUCGUGUGGCGGUACGACGUGCGGCGUGUUAAUAAUGCAUCACUACUCUCCUCCGACCGAAACUUAAAAGUGGCAUAUCUCGUCAACGGCUCUACAGAAAUCAAAAAUGUCAACGCUAAACUGUAUUCCAAUUAAUAAUAAUAUUCCAUUUAUUUAUGUACUUUUAAUAUAGGUUGCCGUUUUAAAAUCGAAAGUAGAUUAGUUUUACCCCUAAAAAUGAGGGUGAUAAAAAUAACACAAUAUAAAAUUGUAGAGCUGCUAUUGUUUCAUAGAUGUUCUGGAAAACAAAUUCCGAAAAAAGUUAAUACUUUUCGAGAUAACGAGUGUACCCACUCAAAUGAAUCACCUGGUAUAUGCGUACGGUGUAAGUACGGAAAAAGUGAUAUCAUCGCACAUAAUUUAGGAACCGUUUAACACACAAUUCUAGAUUUAAUUAAAUAUCGGAUAAAAUUUAAAUUUAAAUUUAAAAAAAUAAUUAAACCGUUGAAUUCACUCGGUCACUUUUAGCAUGAUGUCGAC